UUCUUCAGUUCUGUCAUAUCACAAUUGGCAUUUAAUUUCCGAAAAAAUAGAAUAACGAAAUCAAAAAUCGCACUGCUUAAUGUCUUGAUGUCCUGGUUCUGCUUAAAACAUUUUUUUUAAUUCUAAUUAAUUUUAGCAGGCGGUGAAGGAUAUUCGGGAUGCCCGUGUAUUAUGGAGGUUUCGUGGGAGGACCCCAGGGCGGAGGGUAUUGCCUCUACUCUUAUGGGUGUUGUCCUACGACCGGCGGCUGCCCCGGAUGCGGAGGAGGAUGCUGCUGCUAACGACUGCCAGUUACCAGACGACGCUCGCGUGGUGGAAAACGUCCACUUCCUCACGUCUUUCUUCCUGUUCUCAUUACUAGCUGGCGU